GGAGUCGGCCAGACAAUCGCUGUAGUUCGCUAUGGAGGAAAGUCCGGGCUCCGUCGGACAGGGCGCCAGGUAACACCUGGGAGGCGCGAGCCUAUGGAAAGUGCCACAGAAAACAAACCGCCAGCCUCGGCUGGUAAGGGUGAAAAGGUGCGGUAAGAGCGCACCGCGCGACUGGUAACAGCUCGCGGCACGGUAAACCCCGCCCGGAGCAAGACCAAAUAGGGGAGUACGCAGGCUUUAAGUCUGCACCGUCGGUUCCGAACGGACUCCCGGGUAGGUUGCUAGAGGCAGUCGGUGACGGCUGUCCCAGAUGAAUGGUUGUCGAUGACAGAACCCGGCUUAUUGCCGGCUCCGGUU
rnacentral:RNase_P_RNA from 1 species